rnacentral:rRNA from 1 species
GAUGAACGCUAGCGACUGGCUUAACACAUGCAAGUCGAGGGGCAGCAUGAUUUGUAGCAAUACAGAUUGAUGGCGACCGGCGCACGGGUGAGUAACGCGUAUGCAACUUACCUAUCAGAGGGGGAUAGCCCGGCGAAAGUCGGAUUAAUACCCCAUAAAACAGGGGUCCCGCAUGGGAAUAUUUGUUAAAGAUUCAUCGCUGAUAGAUAGGCAUGCGUUCCAUUAGGCAGUUGGCGGGGUAACGGCCCACCAAACCGACGAUGGAUAGGGGUUCUGAGAGGAAGGUCCCCCACAUUGGUACUGAGACACGGACCAAACUCCUACGGGAGGCAGCAGUGAGGAAUAUUGGUCAAUGGCCGAGAGGCUGAACCAGCCAAGUCGCGUGAAGGAAGAAGGAUCUAUGGUUUGUAAACUUCUUUUAUAGGGGAAUAAAGUGGAGGACGUGUCCUUUUUUGUAUGUACCCUAUGAAUAAGCAUCGGCUAACUCCGUGCCAGCAGCCGCGGUAAUACGGAGGAUGCGAGCGUUAUCCGGAUUUAUUGGGUUUAAAGGGUGCGUAGGUGGUGAUUUAAGUCAGCGGUGAAAGUUUGUGGCUCAACCAUAAAAUUGCCGUUGAAACUGGGUUACUUGAGUGUGUUUGAGGUAGGCGGAAUGCGUGGUGUAGCGGUGAAAUGCAUAGACAUCACGCAGAACUCCGAUUGCGAAGGCAGCUUACUAAACCAUAACUGACACUGAAGCACGAAAGCGUGGGGAUCAAACAGG